GAUCCUGAGAAGGUUUUGUUGAGUUCGGGACAGUAUUUCUUUACCCAUCCUUCAUGAAGAUAAAAAAUGAGGCAAAAUAGACACUAAAAUGGUCUCUGACAUCUCCUCAUGCCACCAGACAAGGAGUAACCAUGGUAACAAGAAGCCUAGAAAAAUUGGGGAAUGAGGAAGACCAGGAAUGAGAGCUCCCCUCAGCCCUGGGGGGACCUGAGUGUCCACAGCUGAGCCUUCUCUGCUUCCCUUUUCUCUUCUGGAUUCUGAUGGAGGAUAUUUUCAUCUUCCUCCCAAAAUCAUCAGAAAGCAUAAGGACAUAUAUAAACCGCUUUGCAAAAAGAGAGUGUAUGGAAUAAAAGAGAAAAUGAAGAAGAGGAGAAAGGCUGGAGUGCAAUGGUGUGAUCUCAGCUCACUGCAGCCUCAACCUCCCUGGCUCAGGUGAUUCUCCCACCUCAGCUUCCUGAUUAACUGGGAUUACAGGAGCUGGGAGAUGGGAACAUCACUAGACCACGAGCCGGAAUUGCUGCAGGAGGAUUCCCACACUCUGGGCCUCCGUGGGCACCACGAGGACUGGACGUGCGACCCCAGCUCUCUGGGUCUCAGUUUCGUCUCCUGCAGAGCAUCUGAGCUAGACCGUCUCUAAAAUUUCAUCAAGCUCCUGUAUUCCAUUCUAUUCUGAGAUGCCCAAUUCUUAUGCCUGCUAAAAACCACAGUGAGAAAUAAUAACCUAUGUCCACAUUUUUGUUUCCUAGGAGAAAUAUCAACAUGCGUCUGCCAAAUAAAAUAUUGUAUUAAAUGA
rnacentral:lncRNA from 1 species